AUGGAGAUGAUGACACCAGAGUCCUUGACUGCUAGUGAUGUGCGAUGUAUUCAUACUGUCUGAUCCAU